GUAGGCUUAGUUUAACCAAGACAUUAGAUUGUGAUUCUAAAAAUAGAGGUUAAAUUCCUCUAGCCCACCG
rnacentral:tRNA from 1 species